rnacentral:rRNA from 1 species
GACGAACGCUGGCGGCGUGCUUAACACAUGCAAGUCGAACGGAAAGGCCCUGCUUUUGUGGGGUGCUCGAGUGGCGAACGGGUGAGUAACACGUGAGUAACCUGCCCUUGACUUUGGGAUAACUUCAGGAAACUGGGGCUAAUACCGGAUAGGAGCUCCUGCUGCAUGGUGGGGGUUGGAAAGUUUCGGCGGUUGGGGAUGGACUCGCGGCUUAUCAGCUUGUUGGUGGGGUAGUGGCUUACCAAGGCUUUGACGGGUAGCCGGCCUGAGAGGGUGACCGGCCACAUUGGGACUGAGAUACGGCCCAGACUCCUACGGGAGGCAGCAGUGGGGAAUAUUGCACAAUGGGCGGAAGCCUGAUGCAGCAACGCCGCGUGCGGGAUGACGGCCUUCGGGUUGUAAACCGCUUUCGCCUGUGACGAAGCGUGAGUGACGGUAAUGGGUAAAGAAGCACCGGCUAACUACGUGCCAGCAGCCGCGGUGAUACGUAGGGUGCGAGCGUUGUCCGGAUUUAUUGGGCGUAAAGGGCUCGUAGGUGGUUGAUCGCGUCGGAAGUGUAAUCUUGGGGCUUAACCCUGAGCGUGCUUUCGAUACGGGUUGACUUGAGGAAGGUAGGGGAGAAUGGAAUUCCUGGUGGAGCGGUGGAAUGCGCAGAUAUCAGGAGGAACACCAGUGGCGAAGGCGGUUCUCUGGGCCUUUCCUGACGCUGAGGAGCCGAAAGCGUGGGGAGCGAACAGGCUUAGAUACCCUGGUAGUCCACGCUGUAAACGGUGGGUACUAGGUGUGGGGUCCAUUCCACGGGUUCCGUGCCGUAGCUAACGCUUUAAGUACCCCGCCUGGGGAGUACGGCCGCAAGGCUAAAACUCAAAGGAAUUGACGGGGCCCCGCACAAGCGGCGGAGCAUGCGGAUUAAUUCGAUGCAACGCGUAGAACCUUACCUGGGUUUGACAUGGAUCGGGAGUGCUCAGAGAUGGGUGUGCCUCUUUUGGGGUCGGUUCACAGGUGGUGCAUGCCUGUCGUCAGCUCGUGUCGUGAGAUGUUGGGUUAAGUCCCGCAACGAGCGCAACCCUUGUUCACUGUUGCCAGCACGUUAUGGUGGGGACUCAGUGGAGACCGCCGGGGUCAACUCGGAGGAAGGUGGGGAUGACGUCAAGUCCUCAUGCCCCUUAUGUCCAGGGCUUCACGCAUGCUACAAUGGCUGGUACAGAGAGUGGCGAGCCUGUGAGGGUGAGCGAAUCUCGGAAAGCCGGUCUCAGUUCGGAUUGGGGUCUGCAACUCGACCUCAUGAAGUCGGAGUCGCUAGUAAUCGCAGAUCAGCAACGCUGCGGUGAAUACGUUCCCGGGGCU